UAUCCUGCAGGGCCUGGAGACGGCCGAGGCCCUAGCAACGGAGUCAUAGCAACAGCACCCGGACACAACCAAUCAGCGGAUACCUUCCCGACGCCGCUUAGCCAAUCCGGCGUUGCGAUAGAGACAGGGGCGACGGCGGCGCUAGCGGGCGCGCAGCCGGCCGCGGGCCCCCGCGGGGCGGUGCCGUUAACGGCUGAGGCCGCCGUGAGAGAGGAUAAGCGUACCUAUUUUAAAACACUUGGACCUUGAGGACUUUUCUGAGGAAAAAAAGCCUUGUAUUUGCCUGGCACAAAACCUAGCAAUAAACAAAUCAUCACAGGAAGUGUGUAAUGAUCCAUGUCAUGGCCACAGAUCCAAGAUCACGGGUGGCAGUACGAGCUCACACUUGAGUGAAACAAGCAAGUCUGUGCAGAAGAGUGG